GGAAUGUAUAAUUUGAUUUGCUUGUUUUCUUGUGUCUCCUGCUCCCGAGUCAGCUCAGAUGGCUCCUGGCCGCAGGCUCCAGCUGCUCCUUGCCCAUCCCAGGGAUGCAGACCGAGGAUGCCGGUGCUGCUGCCUCUCCUGCAGCAUCCUGGGCAGGCGUGGCCCUGGAAAACACCCUGGUGAAGGUUCAAGGAGGACAGGCUGAGCCCCGUGGCCAGGUGCUCUGCUGCUUUGGGUAGGGAGAAGGCAUGAUCAGCCCACAGCACCUUGAAAGAGAGCUUGGAUGUGAUUCCUGCACCAGGAGGGCCACCAGUGGUUACUGGUGUCCCCGGCCCCACCACUGGUGCCGUUCCCAGCCCGUCCACUGGCACAAGGCAAGCUCGGAGCCAGAAAAGAGCUCUCCACUUCAGAGCAAGUCCAGAGAAAUAAAGAGAAGAGAAAUAAACCCCUGCGUUUGCUCUGCACUCGGCUCCGAGCCGCUGUUGUGUCUUGCUGCUCAAAGGAUUUCUGGGAAAGCUCCACCACUUUUAUUCCUUAAACACAGAGCAAAACAAUCAAUGGGGUUUUGAUAUCACCUAAGCCCUGCAAGCCUGUUCCUGGGAAGCCACGGGGAGUGGAUAGAGCUGUGACGGUCUGAAAAGAAACCCGCACAGGAGAAGGCACAGCUGGAAUUCCCAGUGCUCCCAGUGGCUCCGUGCACCCGCUGCAGUGACUGCACAGUUCAAACAAGGACACCCCGCUGCCCAUCCCUGGCUGUGGCCUGGGGAGGGUGCAGGGGGGACCAACCAUGAGCCACCCUCUGCUCCAGGCUCCCAGCCCAGGCUCCAUCACACACAGCAGAUAUGGACCUCCUUGCUUUCACAGCUCCUGUGCCCGUUGUUUUCUCACAGAGAUCACAACAUUUCACGAGGAAUUUAGUCCCGCUCUGCCUUUCAUUCAGUACAAGUGUGUUAAAAACAGAUCUGAGACUCUUCUAAUUUGCUCGUCACUAAAAGGAAAUGAACAUUUGAGAUCCUGCCCAGUAAAACCAGCCUGGUGACAGACACAUUGUGGCCGUGUGGAUGAGCUGGCCACGCUGCUGCAUCCCAAGGGAGUGACCUCAGGGAAACGCCAGCCCGUGGACAGCCGGGCAGGCGAUGCUCGGGCACAUGGUGUGGGCUCAUCAUUGUGGGGCACCACGGACGUCCUGGCUGCCUUCCCAGUGGAUCACAGGCAGCCAGGCAGCACUCGAGGAGGGACAGGAGCUGGAGCUGUGCCCUCACCCUGCUGGUGGCAGCAGUGCCAUCACCCUGCUAAUGACUCAGCUGUGCCCUGUGCACUGGGCUGUCAGCGUGGCCCUGGGAAGGAUGUGGCCCACGUGGGUGCGAUAAAAGCCAGUUAACCCCCCGCUUGGGUCAUGGGGACAUCCUUCACUGGCAGUGGAGGACACGUGUCCCCAGCCCUCCCAGGGCCACCAGGGUGCUGUGGCAGCCCGGGCAGGCCCACGGCCAGGCUGGGCACCGCUCUGUGCCCUGUCCCCACUCCGCCUGUCUGCUCUGCUUCCCUGCUCCCUGCUGUCCCGGUACAAAUCAUUUGCUCAGAUAACAGAUGACGUGUUUAUCCCAAGGGGUACAAGCCUGAAUAUUAGGAUGUCAAAACCAGCUGCAUUUGCAAUACGUUACUGUCAAAUGGAGAAUAAAAAGGGAGUUGCAGUUAUUUAAUUUGGUGCC
rnacentral:lncRNA from 1 species